GAUAAACGCUGGCGGCGUGCAUGAGACAUGCAAGUCGAACGAGUGUUCCCGGGCUUGCCUGGGGACGCUAGUGGCGAACGGCUGAGUAACGCGUGGGUGACCUGCCCUGAAGUGGGGAAUAACUGCCCGAAAGGGUGGCUAAUUCCGCAUGUGGUGACACGUUCGUUCGUGUGACCAAAGCCGCAAGGCGCUUCGGGAGGGGCCCGCGUCCGAUUAGCUCGUUGGUGGGGUAACGGCUCACCAAGGCGACGAUCGGUAGGUGGUCUGAGAGGACGAUCACCCAGACUGGGACUGAGACACGGCCCAGACUCCUACGGGAGGCAGCAGUCGGGAAUUUUGCUCUAUGGGCGAAAGCCUGAAGCAGCAACGCCGCGUGAGGGAUGAAGGCCUUCGGGUUGUAAACCUCUUUUCUCAGGGACGAUGAUGACGGUACCUGAGGAAUAAGCCACGGCUAACUACGUGCCAGCCGCCGCAGUGACAC
rnacentral:rRNA from 1 species